rnacentral:rRNA from 1 species
GAUGAACGCUGGCGGCGUGCCUAAUACAUGCGAGUCGAGCGAACGGACGAGAAGCUUGCUUCUCUGAUGUUAGCGGCGGACGGGUGAGUAACACGUGGAUAACCUACCUAUAAGACUGGGAUAACUUCGGGAAACCGGAGCUAAUACCGGAUAAUAUUUUGAACCGCAUGGUUCAAAAGUGAAAGACGGUCUUGCUGUCACUUAUAGAUGGAUCCGCGCUGCAUUAGCUGGUUGGUAAGGUAACGGCUUACCAAGGCAACGAUGCAUAGCCGACCUGAGAGGGUGAUCGGCCACACUGGAACUGAGACACGGUCCAGACUCCUACGGGAGGCAGCAGUAGGGAAUCUUACGCAAUGGGCGAAAGCCUGACGGAGCAACGCCGCGUGAGUGAUGAAGGUCUUCGGAUCGUAAAACUCUGUUAUUAGGGAAGAACAUAUGUGUAAGUAACUGUGCACAUCUUGACGGUACCUAAUCAGAAAGCCACGGCUAACUACGUG